AUCUCUUCUUACUUCUUAAGCACAAUGUGAAGUACAUUAUCUAUAAUUUCUCAGACUUUAUUUUAUCUUGAAGCUAAAAUCUCUCGUAUUCGUUCUUGUAGUGACAAAAUGAUUAAAAAAAGAAAAAGAGCCGUCUAUUUAAUUUUUUCUAUAAAUUCUUGUAGUUCUACAGGAGGUUUUGCUUAAAGUUCUUGGAUACCUGUUAUUUAGCAAUGGCCUGGUUCUUAAGAAACAAUACUAAUGUUUCUUUCACUCCAAUAUGUAAAGGCGGGAUAAUUUAAUUAGUAUUUCUACGUUGUAGGGGCAAGGAUGUGAGCCAGGAGAAUUUGAACCAAGGUUAUACCUAUAUCUUCGAGUCGACCUUUGACAGCACAGAAGAUAUUGCAGAAUAUGUAGCUCAUCCUGCUCAUGUCGAAUAUGCAAAUAAAUUACUCCCUAAAUUGGAGAAAGUGAUCAUCGUCGAUUACAAACCUGUUGCUGUUCAUCCCUGAGCUGAAUGCAGAACAGAAAUCAAUUAUCUUUCCACUCCUGUUCUUGUAUUUUCAUUUAUGUGUGAACCAGACUGUUUGCCUCAGCAACUUAAUAAGCUGCAGCUGGAUUAAAUAAUGCACUUUGUGGCUCAUUUGCUUUACCCCAUCUACUAUGCAGAUUAUGUUUUUAUUUUACUCAUGAAUCUUGAUCUCUUAAAAUUUCUUACAAAGUAUAUAUAUUUCUAGUUAUUUGAAUGGUCUUAAAAACAAUUAUGCUAAGCUGGCCGGAUAAGAAUUAACAGUUGUUGCUAGGUCAGGUGACCAGUGACAUAUAUAUAUUACUUUUCUGUUAUUAAAAGGUGCGAGUUACCGAUAACUUCUAGAGUGAGUCCUGAUCAGAUGGUAUCACUCUCACUUUGCUCGAAUCGAGUUAAAUUUGAUGAACAUCAACUUACUGCCAUACUUGGACAUUCGAAUGUGAACAAAGCCUUAAAAAAUCAUUUAACAUGAAAACGGAAAUUGAAAAAUUUCUGAAUAAUCUUUCAAAUAUAUUUUAACGAUUUAUAGAUUACACUCCGAUUUGACUAAAAAUUCCUGAUUUAUCAUCUGAUAAAUCUUAAAUCCUAAAUUAUUAAAUUAACCAAUUAAUUUUGAUUUCUACGAUCAUAGAAAAACCCUGUUUUACUUGAUGAUCGAAGACUGCUUCACAUAAAUUAAGGAUAAAAAGAGAGGGAAUAAAAAAAGUUAAAACCAAUUUCCGAUACAACUUUCUAAAACCAGGAACACGCAGAUAUUAUUAUUUCUCUCAAGUUUAUUAGCAGCAGGGUCAUACAAAAUCGUGUUAUUUCAUGGAUGGAACACCCAUUUCCCUAAAAUAUAUGGGUUCACCCAUAUAUUUGAGUCGACCUUUGACAGCACAGAAGGCAUUGCAGCAUAUGUUGCUCAUUCUGACCACGUUGCGCACUACAAGAAUUUCCAGUACUGCCAACAGAAAUUACCAACAAAAACUAAUCCGUUGACUGUUACUAACGAAUUACCAACGGAAUCCAAAUGUUUGAAAAGUCAACAUGAUAGUGACUAAAGCCCGCGAAAUAGACGGGAAAAGUGCCCGCCAAAACUUACCAACGGAAAUGCUAAAGGAUUUUCUAUCGGAACGUGACCUACAAAAUAGUAAUGGAAUAGCAACCGAUUAGUAACGAAUUACCAACGACCUAGUAAUGGUUACAACAAAUUUUAAAAACGCGCAUUUGCAAAUAAUUUUUUCCUAAAUUGGAGAAAGUAAUCAUUGUGGAUUACAAACCAACUGCUGUUUUUCUUUGAGCGUGCUGAAUUCAUACACAAGCAUGAAAGCACAACAGCUGCAGUAUGAGUGUAUGGCACUCACCAUGUGUUACCACAUCUGUACAUCUGCAUUCCUUCCUUAUUUGGCAAACAAAAACUGUCUCAAUGCACCCUAAAGAAUAACCAACAAGGUCGGCCCACUUGUAGGGUUGCAGUCCUGGUCCAGGGAGCCUGGCAAAGAAUUAGAUUACCUGGAAUUCGAUAUUUGUUGGAAGCCGUUCUAUCCAUUCACGAUGACUAUUUUUUCGCGCUUAAUAAAUGCAAAAAGUAUGUUACAACAUAUGUUGAUAUAUAACGCUAAAUUAUAUAAGAGCAAUGCUAGGGACGCCAAAAUUUGUCCCCAAAUUAUUUUCCCAAAUGACGUGGCAAACACAUGGCGGAAUUUGGUUGGGUGGUUUAUGUGCAUACAGGGGAUCCCAUUAUUUAUUAGUAUGAGUAUAACCAAUCACAACUUGCCACAUAGAUUUGGGAAAAAAUUUUGGGAACAAAAUUUGGGGAACUUAGCAUUUUCCAUUAUAUAAUGUAAUUUAGUCUUCAGAGAAUUUUCUCUCUCUCAUUACAUACAAAGUUCAAAAAAAAUUGGAGACAUAUUAGAGAUUUUCGUGAAGCCCAAAAAUGAGAUUUCGAGUGAAGAGGAACGUUAGAAUACAAUAUGACCAGGGUAAACCCUCCUCCUAACAUCUGAGGUUUUAGAGCAUCUUCAAGAGACUCUUAAAUGAGCUCCUAAAUUGAAAUUUGAGGAGGGAGAAAGAAAUUUUUGCUCCAAGAAACUCUUGGUAGCUCUUCAUAUCACUAAUAGCAUCUUGUUUCUCUCUCCUCUCUCCUCAAAGUUAAGAGCCACUACAAAGCUCUUAACUUAUUUUUUACAAUAAAAUAUCCAUUACCUCCGAUUACAUUUGAGUUUGUGUCAUAACAAGUCAAAAAAAAUAAAAUAUUAACGUAAGAGCAAGUAUAAAGAAUAUUGUUGGAGUUAAGACUCUUAGAUUUGUAUUAACUUACUGGGAGUCUAAUAUUUUAUAUUAUAUUUAAGAGUGGGUUAGGAGACUAUCGGAGAUGCUCUUAGAAGAACCGGUCACUUAACAUACAAAAAGAAUAUAAAAGAAUGACAUGGGAGGUUUUCAGGUAUAAAUAAGAGAGGGUGGUUUCAUCAGAUAACAAGCAAGUCCAAAGGAAGAUGGAAAACCAAAGUACAGAGGAGAAAAAGGGUGGGAAAUGUGGAGGAGAUUAUAAACACUUGGUGCUAGGAAAGUUUACACAAGAAACAACUCAACAAGAGAUAGAUGAUCUCAUCAAGGGUUAUGCCAAUCUCGUCUCUCUCGUCCCUCCCAUGAUAUCAUUUCGCUGGUACAUUACUCAUCAUCUCUUCUUACUUCUUAAGCACAAUGUGAAGUACAUUAUCUAUAAUUUCUCAGACUUUAUUUUAUCUUGAAGCUAAAAUCUCUCGUAUUCGUUCUUGUAGUGACAAAAUGAUUAAAAAAAGAAAAAGAGCCGUCUAUUUAAUUUUUUCUAUAAAUUCUUGUAGUUCUACAGGAGGUUUUGCUUAAAGUUCUUGGAUACCUGUUAUUUAGCAAUGGCCUGGUUCUUAAGAAACAAUACUAAUGUUUCUUUCACUCCAAUAUGUAAAGGCGGGAUAAUUUAAUUAGUAUUUCUACGUUGUAGGGGCAAGGAUGUGAGCCAGGAGAAUUUGAACCAAGGUUAUACCUAUAUCUUCGAGUCGACCUUUGACAGCACAGAAGAUAUUGCAGAAUAUGUAGCUCAUCCUGCUCAUGUCGAAUAUGCAAAUAAAUUACUCCCUAAAUUGGAGAAAGUGAUCAUCGUCGAUUACAAACCUGUUGCUGUUCAUCCCUGAGCUGAAUGCAGAACAGAAAUCAAUUAUCUUUCCACUCCUGUUCUUGUAUUUUCAUUUAUGUGUGAACCAGACUGUUUGCCUCAGCAACUUAAUAAGCUGCAGCUGGAUUAAAUAAUGCACUUUGUGGCUCAUUUGCUUUACCCCAUCUACUAUGCAGAUUAUGUUUUUAUUUUACUCAUGAAUCUUGAUCUCUUAAAAUUUCUUACAAAGUAUAUAUAUUUCUAGUUAUUUGAAUGGUCUUAAAAACAAUUAUGCUAAGCUGGCCGGAUAAGAAUUAACAGUUGUUGCUAGGUCAGGUGACCAGUGACAUAUAUAUAUUACUUUUCUGUUAUUAAAAGGUGCGAGUUACCGAUAACUUCCAGAGUGAGUCCUGAUCAGAUAGUAUCACUCUCACUUUGCUCGAAUCGAGUCAAAUUUGAUGAACAUCAACUUACUGCCAUACUUGGACAUUCGAAUGUGAACAAAGCCUUAAAAAAUCAUUUAACAUGAAAACAGAAAUCAAAAAAUCUCUGAUUAAUCUUUCAAAUAUUAUUUUAACGAUUUAUAGAUUACACUCCGAUUUGACAAAAAAUUCCCGAUUUAUCAAAAAAAAAACUCUGAUAAAUCUUAAAUCCUAAAUUAUCAAAUUAACCAAUUAAUUCCGAUUUCUACGAUCAUAGAAAAACCCUGUUUUACUUGAUGAUCGAAGACUGCUUCACAUAAAUUAAGGAUAAAAAGAGAGGGAAUAAAAAAAGUUAAAACCAAUUUCCGAUACAACUUUCUAAAACCAGGAACACGCAGAUAUUAUUAUUUCUCUCAAGUUUAUUAGCAGCAGGGUCAUACAAAAUGGUGUUAUUUCAUGGAUGGAACACCCAUUUUCCUAAAAUAUAUGGGUUCACCCAUAUAUUUGAGUCGACCUUCGACAGCACAGAAGGCAUUGCAGCAUAUGUUGCUCAUUCUGACCACGUUGCGCACUACAAGAAUUUCCAGUACUACCGACAUAAAUUACCAACAAAAACUAAUCCGUUGACUGUUACUAACGAAUUACCAAUGGAAUGGAAUAUUUUGUUGGCGAAAUAGGCGGGAAAAGUGCCCGCCAAAACUUACCAACGGAAAUGCUAAAGGAUUUUCUAUCGGAACGUGACCAACAAAAUAGUAAUGGAAUAGCAACCGAUUAGUAACGAAUUACCAAGUACCAACGACCUAGUAAUGGUUACAACAAAUUUUAAAAACGCGCGUUUGCAAAUAAUUUUUUCCUAAAUUGGAGAAAGUAAUCACUGUGGAUUACAAACCAACUGCUGUUUUUCUUUGAGCGUGCUGAAUUCAUACACAAGCAUGAAAGCACAACAGCUGCAGUGAGUGUAUGGCACUCACCAUGUGUUACCACAUCUGUACAUCUGCGAUUCCUUACUUAUUUGGCAAACAAAAACUGUCUCAAUGCACGGCAUCUCCAAUAGGGGGCUAACUAAAGUUGCUUAAAAUAACAAAUCUUUAAAAAUAUUACUAUUUUAUUUUCUCUCUCUUUGGGCAACUUUUACAUAAAAAUUUGCUCCAAUGGUUGGCACCCAAAGUUGCCACAUAUUUGUACAAGUAUAAUUAUAACAAGAUAUGAAACUAAAUGACUUUAGGGUGAUUUAUACACUUUUUUCUAUUUUAGGAGGGUACCAAAAGCUGGCAACUUUGCUUGGCACUCCUUCCACUCCAAUGGAGAGCCAACAAGAGUGCCAUGCCACAUCAUGACACAUGGCACUUUAGCACUCUUUUUGACACCCUCAUUGGAGUUGCUCAUAACCAACAAGGUCAGCCCACUUGUAGGGUUGCAGUCCUGGUCCAGGGAGCCUGGCAAAGAAUUAGAUUGCCUGGAAUUCGAUAUUUGUUGGAAGCCGUUCUAUCCAUUCACGAUGACUAUUUUUUCGCGCUUAAUAAAUGCAAAAAGUAUGUUACAACAUAUGUUGAUAUAUAACGCUAAAUUAUAUAAUGUAAUUUAGUCUUCAGAGAAUUUUCUCUCUCUCAUUACAUACAAAGUUCAAAAAAAAUUGGAGACAUAUAUUAGAGAUUUUCAUGAAGCCCAAAAAUGAGAUUGAGUGAGGAGGAACAUUAGAAUACAAUAUGACUGGGGUAAACCCUCCUCCUAACAUCUGAGGUUUUGGAGAACCGGUCACUUAACAUACAAAACGAAUAUAAAAGAAUGACAUGGGAGGUUUUCAGGUAUAAAUAAGAGAGGGUGGUUUCAUCAGAUAACAAGCAAGUCCAAAGGAAGAUGGAAAACCAAAGUACAGAGGAGAAAAAGGGUGGGAAAUGUGGAGGAGAUUAUAAACACUUGGUGCUAGGAAAGUUUACACAAGAAACAACUCAACAAGAGAUAGAUGAUCUCAUCAAGGGUUUUGCCAAUCUCGUCUCUCUCGUCCCUCCCAUGAUAUCAUUUCGCUGGUACAUUAUUACACACCAUCUCUUCUUAGUUCUUUCCCUUCAUUUUACUGUUUUUUAUGACCACCGCGAUUAUAUUAAGCACAAUGUGAAGUACAUUAUCUAUAAUUUCUCAGAGUUUAUUUUAUCUUGAAGCUGAAAUCUCUCGUAUUCGUUCUUGUAGUUACCAAAUGAUAAAAAAAAAAAAAAAAUCUAUAAAUUCUUGUAGUUCUACAGGAGGUUCUGCUGAAAGUUCUUGGAUACCUAUUAUUUAGCAAUGGCCUGGUUUUUAAGAAACAAUUCUAAUGUUUCUUUCGCUCCAAUAUGUAAAGGCGAGAUAAUUUAAUUAGUAUUUCUACAUUGUAGGGGCAAGGAUGUGAGCCAGGAGAAUUUGAACCAAGGUUAUACCCAUAUUUUCGAGUCGACCUUUGACAGCACAGAAGAUAUUGCAGAAUAUCUGGCUCAUCCUGCUCAUGUCGAAUAUGCAAAUAAAUUACUCCCUAAAUUGGAGAAAGUCCUCGUCGUCGAUUACAAACCCGUUGCUGUUCAUCCCUCAGCUGAAUGCAGGACAGAAAUUGAUUAUUAUUUCACUCCUGUUCUUGUAUUUUCAUUUAUGUGUGAACCAGACUGUUUGCCUCAGCAACUUAAUAAGCUGCAGCUGGAUUGAAUAAUGCACUUUGUGGCUCACUUGCUUUACCCCAUCUACUAUGCAGAUUAUGUUUUUAUUUUACUCAUGAAUCUUGAUCUCUUAAAAUUUCUUACAAAGAAUAUAUAGUUCUAGUUAUUUGAAUGAUCCUAAAAACAAUUAUGCUAAGCUGGCCGGAUAAGAAUUACCAGUCGUUGCUAGGUCAGGUGACCAGUGACAUAUUCAUAUUACUUUUCUCGGUUAUUAAAAGGUGCGAGUUACAGAUAACUUCCUGAGUGAGUCCUGAUCAGAUGGUAUCACUCUCACUUUGCUCGAAUCGAGUUAAAUUUGAUGAACAUCAACUUACUGCCAUACUUGGACAUUCGAAUGUGAACAAAGACUUAAAAAAUCAUUUAACAGAAAAAUGGAAAUCGAAAAAUCUUUGAUUAAUCUUUCAAAUAUAUUUUAACGAUUUAUAGAUCACACUCCGAUUUGACUAAAACUUCAUGAUUUAUCGAAAAAAUCUCUGAUAAAUCUUAAAUCUUAUUAGAUUAAUCAAUUAAUUCCGAUUUCUGAUUUCUACGAUCAUAGAAAAACCCUGUUUUGCUUGAUGAUCGAAGACUGCUUCACAUAAAUUAAGGAUAAAAAGAGAGGGAAUAAAAAAAGUAAAAACCAAUUUCCGAUACAACUCUCUAAAACCAGGAACACGCAGAUAUAUUAUUUCUCUCAAUUUUAUUAGCAGCAGGGUCAUACAAAAUCAAGAUCCUGAGAAGUGAGACGUGACUUAUCUGACUGACAUGAAGAAAAAAGGUGUGACCUUGGUGCCAAUCUCAGAGCUAAAAUCAUACAACUCAAUAGCAUCAAGAAAAUCAUCAAGAGUGAAAGAAACACCAUCCAUGGGGUGACUAUGACACCUCUGAUACGCAUUUAAAAUCAAAAAAAAAAAAAAAAACAUUUCUUUAAGUUUUAAUCUUUCUCUUGUCUGGGCAUUACUUGUGAUUGCCACUGCUGCUGCUGCUACAACAACAAGUGUUCUUGAACUAUACUUACAAGCGUUAUUUUGUGUAAUAACUUUAACUUUUCUGGAGAGAUGUGAAAUUUGGAGAGAUGGGUUUUUUAGACCCCCAAUUUGGUGGGCUAGAGAAGCCAUUGAUGUGGUGUUUGGAUUGUUUCUGAUCAUUUCUUUGAUGAAUAUGUGUUAUGCUAGAGAUUUUGUUUUAAUUGGUUAUAUAUCACUGGUUAUAAAUUCGGAAAUCAAUUUUAAGUAUAUGUAUUGUGAGUACUUUCUUUAAUAAUUAAACGCACUCAUGACAAGGUUUGAACCUGAACAUCUCGUGGAGCGAGAGAUAUACCGUUGAAUCAAAAAACGUUAGCCUCAAAGAUUUGAGGUUAGUUUGAGGAAAAAAAAUGCAUGGCAGCAGUGCUGUAACAAAUAAAGUAUGGAAACAUGGCCUGUAAGUUGUGACAUACAGGCAGUAUAAGUGUAUAAAUAAGAGAACCUGGUUGCAUCAGAAAUAACAAAACUAACAUGGCGCACACUGAACACUUCAUAUAGAACAGAGGGAGAAAAAGGAAGAACCGAAGAAAAACAAGAGGAAAUAGAGGGUGGGAAAUGUCGAGGAGACUAUAAGCACUUGUUGCUUGCGAAAUUCAGACAAGACAUAAUUUAACAAGAGAUAGAUGAUCUUAUUAGGGUUUAUGCUAGUCUGUUUUUUUCGUCCCUUCCCUCAGAUCUUUUCGUUGGUAAAUUAAGGCACUCUCCUCCUUUUUUCGCAUUUUUAUCUCAUGAAGAUACAAUUAGUAUGUGUUGUUAGAUCAUAAUAAGUUGUUAUCCAUACUGUCACUGUGUGACUCGUAUAUGUAGAAGGCGGAUAACAAGAAUCUGCAUUUUUAUGUUGCAGGGGCGUUGAUGUGAGCAGGGAGAAGUUGAACCAAGGGUUCACCCAUAUAUUUGAGUCGAGCUUCGAAAGCACAGAAGGCAUUGCAGCAUGUGUAGCUCAUCCUGACCACGUCGCGUUUGCAAAUAAUUUCUUCCUAAAUUGGAGAAAGUAAUCAUUGUGGAUUACAAACCAACUGCUGUUUUUCUUUGAGCGUGCUGAAUUAAUACACAAGCAUGAAAGCACAACAGCUGCAGUAUGAGUGUCUGGCACUCACCAUGUGUUACCACAUCUGUACAUCUGCCAUUCCUUCCUUAUUUGGAAAACAAAAACUGUCACAGUGCACCCUAAAACUUGAUGAAUAACCAACAUGGUCGGCCCACUUGUAGGGUUGCUGUCCUGGUCCAGGGAGCUUGGCAAAGAAUUAGAUUGCUCUGGAAUUUGAUAUUUGUUGGAAGCCGUUCUAUCCAUUCACGAUGACUAUUUUUUCGUGCAUAAUAAAUAAAAAAUAUAUAUUACAACAUAUGCUGAUAUAUAAUAAUUUAGUCUCCAGAAAAUUUUCCCUCUCAUUACGUACAAAGUUCAAAAAAAAUUGUAGACAUAUUAGAGAUUUUCCUAAAGCCCAAAAAUGGACUUUCGAGUGAGGAGGAACGUUAGAGUACAAUAUGACCCUGAUAAUCCUCCUCCUCCUAACACCUUGAGGUUUUAGGAAAACUUGUCACUUAACAUAGAAAAAGGAUAUAAAAGAAUGACCUGGGAGGUUUUCAACUAUAAAUAAGAGAGGGUGGUUUCAUCAGAUAACAAGCAAGUCCAAAGGAAGAUGGAAAACCAAAGUACAGAGGAGAAAAAGGGUGGGAAAUGUGGAGGAGAUUAUAAACACUUGGUGCUAGGAAAGUUUACACAAGAAACGACUCAACAAGAGAUAGAUGAUCUCAUCAAGGGUUAUGCCAAUCUCGUCUCUCUCGUCCCUCCCAUGAUAUCAUUUCGCUGGCACUUUACACACCAUCUCUUCUUACUUCUUUCCCUUCAUUCUACUGUUUUUUAUGACCAUCACGAUCAUAGCAAGUGAUGAGAAGAUUAUUGGAGUUCCAUCUUAUUAAGCACAAUGUGAAGUACAUUAUCUAUAAUUUCUCAGACUUUAUUUUAUCUUGAAGCUGAAAUCUCUCGUAUUUUCUAUAAAUUCUUGUAGUUCUACAGGAGGUUUUGCUGAAAGUUCUUGGAUACCUAUUAUAUAGCAAUGGCCUGGUUUCUAAACAAUUCUAAUGUUUCUUUCACUCCAAUAUGUAAAGGCAAGAAAAUUUAAUUAGUAUUUCUACAUUGUAGGGGCAAGGAUGUGAGCCAGGAGAAUUUGAACCAAGGUUAUACCCAUAUCUUCGAGUCGACCUUUGACAGCACAGAAGAUAUUGCAGAAUAUGUAGCGCAUCCUGCUCAUGUCGAAUAUGCAAAUAAAUUACUCCCUAAAUUGGAGUAAGCGAUCAUCGUCGAUUACAAACCCGUUGCUGUUCAUCCCUGAGCUGAAUGCAGGACAGAAAUCAAUUAUCUUUCCACUCCCGUUCUUGUAUUUUCAUUUAUGUGUGAACCAGACUGUUUGCCCUAGCAACUUAAUAAGCUGCAGCUGGAUUGAAUAAU
rnacentral:lncRNA from 1 species